CUCUUCCUGACCCCACGCUCGGUGACAUCAGCUGGGAGCUUGCGAUCAGCCAGGGUGGGAGCAUUUACGCCACAGAACCUGGCACAUGCUACAGGCCAGGACUUUGUCCUUUUCCUUUUCUGGGAGUUGGCUCAGCAGCGUGCUCCUGUUGUGCUGUUCCCCUCUCUGCAGGGUCAUGUGGCCUGGCCUGCCGGCCCUCCGUCCCCGCUCCAGGACUAACCUCUGUGGAGGGAAUCACCUAACUCGAGGGAUCACGACUCCUGAGCAGUGAAGUCGCAUGAGGCCCCACAGACCCCGGGAUUGGAGGCCCAAGGACCUGCCAGUGUGCGGGGCUGGCCUCUGCAGACAGUGAAAAGCUCCCGUGGCCACGCUUGGCAGAUGCUGGCAGUUGGGAGCCAAGGAUUGCUUGUGAGCAGAGGAGGGACACACACUGUCUGCAAGGACUGCAGCUGUGGCAGAGUUUGAACAAUGGUGUGUGUGAGGGCAAAGCUCAGAAGACAGGGACAACAGGAGAUCAGUCCAACAAUGUCUGGGGGCCUGAAACAGCUCGACAGCAGAGGGACGGGACUCUGAAUGGGGGGAGGAGCUACCAGCCUCUGGUGAGCAGUGGUUGGGUCACAAGUAGAGACAGGGUUUCACCGUGUUAGCCAGAAUGGUCUCGAUCUCCUGAUCUUGUGAUCCGCCCACCUCGGCCUCCCAAAGUGCUGGGAUUACAGGUGUGAGCCACUGCGCCCGGCUAAUUCACUUCUUACCCUCUCUGAACCUCGGUCUCCUCCUCUGUAAAAUGGGCCUGUAGCUCUCUUUACAGGGAUACUGGAAGAUCACUUGUGGCUAACACGAUUCCUGGGUCCCUGUGACUGUUGGUCCUCACACUUCUCCUCCUGUCUCUUUUCCAGUUGAUUGCCUUGCUACAGUGUGAUAAGAAAUCCAUUCUCUGUUUGGCUUUUCAGGGAAGUGAAGAGACAGCCAAAUGGCCAAAUUCCCCUGGAAAUUUCUCCUGGUGUCUGGCACCCUGGGAUUUUGCCUGGCUGGGUUUGUGGGCGGCUGCCAGAGGCACUGCAGAAGCUGUCAGGCUGGGCUUCCAGGGACAAAGGUGGAAGCGCCCCCACCAGAGAAGAGUGUGGGUGUCAGGCAUGGCCUGGGCUGAGACCCCGCUGUCACUUCCUGUCUGUGAUCUUGAUCAAGCUCACCCCCUGCCCUGAGCCGGCUGGUUUGUUCAUCAGUACAACAGGGUUAAUAAAUAGCACUGCCUACCCGCUGGGUGCUGUAAACAUCCUGUGGAAAGAUGGACUUUUGAAAACAUCGCGUGUCACUGUGAGGAGCUGCCGGGGUUGGAAGAGGAGUGGCUAGAUGUUCCUUGAGGCUCCCUGCUGCGCUGGGCUGCAGGAUGGUUUUGUCUGAAGAUUCCUGAAUGGGAUCAGGAGAGGAG
rnacentral:lncRNA from 10 species